UGCCCCAUGGCUGAGUUGGUUACAGCGUCCGACUGUUAAAAUACGGUGCUCCUUGAGCGAGGCUCGAACACCUGCUUAGUAAUCGGAAGGUCGAGAGUUCGAGCCUCUCUGGGGCAG